GACGAACGCUGGCGGCGUGCUUAACACAUGCAAGUCGAGCGGUAAGGCCCUUUCGGGGGUACACGAGCGGCGAACGGGUGAGUAACACGUGGGUGACCUGCCCUCAGCUCUGGGAUAAGCCUGGGAAACCGGGUCUAAUACUGGAUAUGACUCCAUGACGCAUGUUGUGGGGUGGAAAGCCUUGUGCGGCUGAGGAUGGGCCCGCGGCCUAUCAGCUUGUUGGUGGGGUGAUGGCCUACCAAGGCGACGACGGGUAGCCGGCCUGAGAGGGCGACCGGCCACACUGGGACUGAGACACGGCCCAGACUCCUACGGGAGGCAGCAGGUGGGGAAUCUUGCGCAAGUGGGCGAAAGCCUGACGCAGCGACGCCGCGUGA
rnacentral:rRNA from 1 species